CGGGGCACGGGGGCCAGCGCGCGCUCACAGAGCCGCCGCGGACGAGCCCCCCCGCGACCUCUUUGAGGGCCCCCAGCAGUCGCCUGUCCAGAGGGUGGCGCGAGGGGGUGGGCGAGUGUGAGCCCGCCCUCCUCUCCUGAUCCGCCUCCCCCCGCUUCGCCGUACAUGGGCUCGUCCGCUUUCAAACCCCGCACACAGACUGAUGGGGACGAGCCUCUCUGACCGAAUCCACCACUUGUCUUUUGAUGACAGGCUGCUGACCAGAAAGGGUUCCUGGACUUAAGGUGGCAUCUUGGAGGUGACUGGAGAUCUGCAUAGAUGCGCAAAUCUGGGUUCAUUAUCACGCAAUCCUAUUCUCAUAUUAUUACUGCUUCUCUUCAGAGGAAUGGAUAAAAGAGUUAUGAAAACUGUAUAAGCAAAAAUGCACAAAACUUUCCCAUCAUACACCGGCUGCAGCAAAUCUAUGUCUGCUCUGAAUUUAUUGCAGCAUCCCUAAGCAGACUGAAUGGCAAAAUGGUACUAUUACUUCUGAUUAUAAACUGGCUGCAUAAGAUCUGUUAUAAAUACCCCAUUAUAUAACACACUGUACAGUACAACACCUA